CGACUCUCGACAACGGAUAUCCCGGCUCUCGCAUCGAUGAAGAACGUAGCGAAAUGCGAUACUUGGUGUGAAUUGCAGAAUCCCGUGAACCAUCGAGUCUUUGAACGCAAGUUGCGCCCGAAGCCAUCAGGCCGAGGGCACGUCUGCCUGGGAGUCACGC
rnacentral:rRNA from 1 species